CUGUAGAUGACAAGCACACUCAUGUUGGCUUUUGCCUACUUCUCUAAGCAUGGGUUAUGUACCCAGCCCACAGGUCUCUUCAGAUAGAGAGCCAGUGUGACAUCAGAAAGACAGUGGUAGAACCCCAUCCCAUUGUCAAGGCACUACUACAUCAUCUACUUCCAAGAGGGGUGCCCUCCCAUGGUGCCCAUCUUCACAGUGAGCAGAUCACCACAGGAGGAUUGUCUCACAACCUUGGAGUCCUUGCAUUUAUAUAAAAAAAAACAAACCAGUUAUGAUAACUAGGAAAGGCUGCCUCUUCAAGCACUCAACCUACUCUGGCCAGGUAUUCCCAACUGGGAAAUCAAAAACAAUGACCAGGCUUCAGAGAACUGCCAGAAACGACCAUUCUUCCACUGCAGAGCAGGGCGUGAGAAGCCACGGUACAGUCCUGGAUCAAUUGGUGGGCUUUGGGCAAAGGCAGAACUGAGUUCAGCCAUUUUCUGAUUGAAGCCCUCUGUCCGUUCAUCUGAGGCAGUAAAGAGAAGGCCUGGCACAAAGCUAAGCAGCACAACUUCCUUCCCUCUCUGACUUCACUGUAAUAUAUCAGGCCAGGUAUACUGGCUGGUUCUGUGUGUCAACUGACACAAGCUGGAGUUACCACAGAGAAAGGAGCCUCAGCUCCUGCUUCCUGACCUGCUUGAGUUCCAGUCCUGACUUUCUUUGGUGAUGAACAGCAAUGUGGAAGUGUAAGCUGAAUAAACCCUUUCCUCCCCAA